GAUGCCUAUUGGCCCUCAGUGGUGACAAUCAUUUCCCGCAGGGCGCAGUCCCACCGCAAUCCCCAACUUAGUCUGAGUUCGAGGGCUCUGGGUCCGAAUGCCUUAAAGGGGCCACAUCCUGGGCCCACAGUGUAGAGGGCCCACAGAAGACCCUUUCUGAAGAGUUGUGCAGCCAGCAACUAGCAAGGAAGCACCACCUUUUCUCCCCUUUCCCUCGUCUAAGGGCAACCAGGCUCUGGGGUGCAGAAUGGCUCCAGGCUGCUCUGAAGUGGAGAAGGCCAUUCCUUUGAAGUCCCUAGCCUGAGGCCGCCCCGCCUAAGCCUUCUGGAAGGAAGCCUUUGCCUGGCCGAACCAGCCCCUCCACCGGUCCAUCUCUCCCCGUCCCCCAAAAGUGAAGAAGAGUUAUUGGUCUUGAGGCACUGUUCAAAGGUCCAUGACUCCUGAUGGGCGACAGUCCAGGCCGGACUUUACUGCUGUCCUAGUCCCAGCCACCCAGAGGGGCCAUUAACUAGCCUCCAAGGGAAGCCGGCUCUCUCCUCCCUAGAAUCUUAGUCGGGAAUGAAUCUCGGUUCCGCAGGCAUCCCGCUCCAGCUCUCCUGAUAAUCCUGGCCAGGUUUACCGGCGCCCAGCAGUCCCGAGACCGGGUGGGCCCCUGGGUUGGACACCUGUCACCUGGGCGGGAGAAGGAAGAAAGACUCGGACUGGAGUUCCUAGAAAGGACAGGCAUAGUGGGGGUCCUGCUGUGCGAGAGGGAUUUAAGUCGAAAUUAGUUAUUCAGAUGCCGGUCGGUUAGGGUGGGGACAUGGGUGUUGGUACCAUUACCCCUACGCAGACCUUAAGCUACAAACCUAUCAGCAGGCCGCAGCUACCUUUAAUCUAAAGACCUCCAGCUGAGGGCCCAGCCCGCAGCUGUGCUCGGGCCCCGCACCGAAGGGGUUAAGCGACGGCCCUCGGCUCAGACGUUUACAAACACUCGGGAGCCGGGCGGGGACCGCGCCCGCUACUCUAAUGAGAAACAGGCUCGGCGGGGCCAGGGCGCAGGGGAGGGCUGGCCCGGCCGGCCCGAACUCCGCCGCGGCCGAGGCGACUGCCCGCCCCCCUCUCCUCCCGCCCUCCCUCCGGCCCGCCCUGGGGACCCCCCAGCCCCGGGGGACCCCAGUGACGUGCGGAGCUGCCCCGGCGGCGAGCCCAGGACCGCGACGCCGGAGGGGCGGGGAGAAGAAGCCAGGCCGGCGGGGAGAGAAGAAUGUUCCGAGGCCUAGCGGGGAGCUUCAUCAUGGAAAUAAAGAAAGGAGAGACUCAAGGAGAGAGAGAGUGAGGAGCAUCCUGAGACGGACUGCCAACCCGCACCUAAGAGGCUGACCGAGGGCCGUGGGAAGCCGAGGCAAGGCGGGAAGGGGUAGAGACCCUGCUCCUGCUCCAGCUCACCAUCCCCGACACGCCGCCUACGCACCCCGCGGCCCCCCCGCCCCCUGCUCCGCAGCACUAGCAGACGUGCGCAUUCUUUUCAAAUGUCAUAUUUCCUUUGAUCCUGGGCAGCGUUUCUCCAUGUGUCUGGCUCAGCUUCUGCCCAGCCAGCCGCUCCCCCCGCCCUCACCCCACUCUGUGUAUUUUCCUGAGGUCCCUCCCCCUCCUCCCAGCAUCUGGAAGGCCCUGAGGACUGGCGUUGGCGCACAUUCCCCUGGAGACUCUGGCCUCGCCUUCCAGUGACUCAAUUUCCCCUCUGCGGUUGGGGGCCGGGAGGUGUGGUGCGGGCGGAGAAAAGAGUUGUUGCGCGUAAAUGUGGUAUGAACGAGCCUGCAGACUGCUCAGAGCGCCAAGCUUUCCUCGUGGGGCAGAGGAGGGGGGCUCCCCUCGACUCUGAAAACCCUCGGAUCUGUCUGAACUGCAGCUAAGGGAUGGAAUUUAUAAUUUCUGCGAAGUCCUGCCCGGGUAAAAGUGGGUAGUUGUAGGUUUGGGUUGCUCCGCACAUCUGCCCCCUGGCGACCACAAAGACCCAGCCGCCCUCCCUCCCGCGAGUCCGGUUUCUCGACCGCCCGGCCUUGGUCCCCGAUCCCCUAGCGCGCGCAUCUGAGCACAGCUCCUCUUUCUCACCUUGUGACCGUGGAGCGUUGACUUCCGCUCUCCACUUUCACAAGCGUGACUCAACGGCCUUGGAAGCGGACUUUUGUUGUUGUUGUUGUUGUUUCUAAAUUACACAAAAUACAGUCUCCUUGUAAAGGAUUCAAGCCAUACAAAAAUAUAUAGUAAGCUGUGAUACCCCA